rnacentral:rRNA from 1 species
CCCAGUAGUCAUAUGCUUGUCUCAAAGAUUAAGCCAUGCAUGUCUAAGUAUAAGCAAUCAUACUGUGAAACUGCGAAUGGCUCAUUAAAUCAGUUAUCGUUUAUUUGAUAGUACCUUUACCUGGAUAACCGUGGUAAUUCUAGAGCUAAUACAUGCUAAAAACCCCGACUUCGGAAGGGGUGUAUUUAUUAGAUAAAAAACCAAUGCCCUCUGGGCUCUUUGGUGAUUCAUAAUAACUUAACGAAUCGCAUGGCCUUGCGCCGGCGAUGGUUCAUUCAAAUUUCUGCCCUAUCAACUUUCGAUUGUAAGAUAGAGGCUUACAAUGGUAUUAACGGGUAACGGGGAAUUAGGGUUCUAUUCCGGAGAGGGAGCCUGAGAAACGGCUACCACAUCCAAGGAAGGCAGCAGGCGCGCAAAUUACCCAAUGCUAAUUCAGCGAGGUAGUGACAAUAAAUACUGAUACGGGGCUCUUUCGGGUCUCGUAAUUGGAAUGAGUACAAUCUAAAUCCCUUAACGAGGAACAAUUGGAGGGCAAGUCUGGUGCCAGCAGCCGCGGUAAUUCCAGCUCCAAUAGCGUAUAUUAAAGUUGUUGCCGUUAAAAAGCUCGUAGUUGAACCUUGGACCUGGCUGAUCUGUCCUCCUAAUCGAGCGCACGGAUUCGGUCGGGUCUUUCCUUCUGGGGAGCCCUAUGCCCUUCACUGGGUGUAGUGGGGAACCAGGACUUUUACCUUGAAAAAAUUAGAGUGUUCAAAGCAGGCCUUUGCUCGAAUACACUAGCAUGGAAUAAUAGAAUAGGACAUCGGUUCUAUUUUGUUGGUUUCUAGGACCGCUGUAAUGAUUAAUAGGGAUAGUCGGGGGCGUCAGUAUUCAAUUGUCAGAGGUGAAAUUCUUGGAUUUAUUGAAGACUAACUACUGCGAAAGCAUUCGCCAAGGAUGUUUUCAUUAAUCAGUGAACGAAAGUUAGGGGAUCGAAGACGAUCAGAUACCGUCGUAGUCUUAACCAUAAACUAUGCCGACUAGGGAUCGGACGGUGGUUUUUUUAUGCCCCGUUCGGCACCUUACGAGAAAUCAAAGUUUUUGGGCUCGGGGGGGAGUAUGGUCGCAAGGCUGAAACUUAAAGAAAUUGACGGAAGGGCACCACCAGGCGUGGAGCCUGCGGCUUAAUUUGACCCAACACGGGGAAACUCACCAGGUCCAGACAUGCUUAGGAUUGACAGAUUGAUAGCUCUUUCUUGAUUGUAUGGGUGGUGGUGCAUGGCCGUUCUUAGUUGGUGGAGUGAUUUGUCUGCUUAAUUGCGAUAACGAACGAGACCUUGACCUGCUAAAUAGCCAGGUUGACUUUUGUCGGCCGCCGGCUUCUUAGAGGGACUUUUGGCUCAAGCCAAUGGAAGUACGAGGCAAUAACAGGUC